AUUGAACGCUGGCGGCAGGCCUAACACAUGCAAGUCGAGCGGAGCGGCGGACGGGUGAGUAAUGCAUAGGAAUCUGCCUGGUAGUGGGGGAUAACGUCCGGAAACGGGCGCUAAUACCGCAUACUAUCAGAUGAGCCUAGGUCGGAUGAGCUAGUUGGUGGGGUAAAGGCCUACAAAGGAGACGCACCGUAACUGGUCUGAGAGGAUGAUCAGUCAAACUGGAACUGAGACACGGUCCAGACGCCUACUGGAGGCAGCGGUGGGGAAUAUUGGACAAUGGGCGUAAGCCUGAGCCAGCCAUGCCGCGUGUGUGAAGAAGGUCUUCGGAUUGUAAAGCACUUUAAGUUGGUAGGCGUUACCAACAGAAUAAGCACCGGCUAACUUCGUGCCAGCAGCCGCGGUAAUUC
rnacentral:rRNA from 1 species